UCAUUGGUAGGUGAAAAUCUAAAAUAUUUGGUUGGGAAAGUAAUUAAAUGUAAGGGGUCUGUUCUUGAGUCAUAUGUGUCUUGUUUAACUACUUAAUUCUUUAAAAAUCUCGUUUAUAACAUGUAGAAUUUGAGUUAUGAGCUUUUGAGUAUAUGGUUUGAUUGAUGUACCUUAUUCUUGGUCAAAUAAGAAAAUUGAUAUUCAAUUUUAGUCUUAAGCAUCCUUUUUCUAAUCAGUUCUAGUGUCAAGGAUAUCAAUUCAGUCAUUUGGAUAAGUUUGGGGUUCAACCAAAUUAGAAAAAUCAAAGUUGAAAAAUCAAAUUAUCUUGAAAAAAUCGAUUAUUAAGUAAGAUAAUCAAUUAUCUCAGAAAAAUUUCGUUGGACGCCCUG
rnacentral:lncRNA from 1 species